rnacentral:rRNA from 1 species
UACGUAGGGGGCAAGCGUUGUCCGGAAUCAUUGGGCGUAAAGCGCGUGUAGGCGGUCCGGUAAGUCCGCUGUGAAAGUCGGGGGCUCAACCCUCGGAUGCCGGUGGAUACUGUCGGGCUUGAGUACGGAAGAGGCGAGUGGAAUUCCUGGUGUAGCGGUGAAAUGCGCAGAUAUCAGGAGGAACACCGGCGGCGAAGGCGGCACUCUGGGCCGGUACUGACGCUGAGGAGCGAAAGCGUGGGUAGCAAACAGG